rnacentral:lncRNA from 1 species
GUGUGUGUGAGAGAGAGAGAGAGAGAGAGGAGAAGCUGGGUCAGUCAUCACGGAGACAGAAUUAGUCUUCAACUCCACACAAUCUGCACCAUCAUCUGAAGUGAUUGAAACCACAUUAAGGGACAACUCAAGUGUCAGUGCACUGAACAUUAUUGUUGAAUCUAUCAUGGUUGAUGACGGCUCAACAACCACAACAACUGCUCCUGAAACAUCUACAACAACAGAGACAUCCACAAUCACAACAACUGCUCCUGAAACAUCUACAACAACAGAAACUACCACAAUCACAACUUCUGCUGAAACAUCAACAUCAGCAACAACUUUUGCCGGAACUACUACUGCAGGACCUUCCACAACAGCACCACAAACAACAUCUACAGCAGUAACUUCUGUGAUUCCCACUUCAAUCACUACUGAAAGCACCACUGUCAGUACAGCAACAACAUCUACAUCACCAACAGCUACAACAACACUUCCUUCAACAGUGACAUCAUCUCCUGUUGGAACUACUACUGCAGGACCUUCCACAACUGCACCACAAACAACAUCUACAGCAGUACCUUCUGUGAUUCCCACUUCAAUCACUACUGAAAGCACCACUGUCAGUACAGCCACAAUAUCCACAACGCCAACAGCUACAACAAAAGGGCCCUCAGCUACAACUACAAAAUCUGCACCUGUGUAUCUAACAGAUCUGGUGUUCCGCUCUUUAGACAACUUUAAUGUAGAACUCAGUGACCCAAACUCUCAGACCUUCAAGAACAGGGCUCAGCUUGUCAUAUCUCAGCUUGAACCAAUCUACAAAGCAAAAUAUUUUUCCUUUAUUGGAGUGAAUGUCUUGCUUUUCAGGUAAAUAAGGAAUUUAUGUGCAUUAUGGGUUUAAACAAAUAACCAUGCAAUAAACUUAAACAGAGCAAAAUAUCUUUCCUUUAUCAGCGUGGAUGUCUUAAGUUUCCGGUAAAUAUGGAAUUUUUGUGAAGUUUUAAAUAUAUAUAUAUAUAUAUAUAUACAGUAAUGUACUCAUACACCUGGAGAGAAUCUAGUGAAAAAAACAAACAGUAUAUGUAUGUAUGUAUGUAUUUAAACACACACACACACACACACACACACACACACACACACACACACAUAUAUAUAUAUAUAUAUAUAUAUAUAUAUACACACACACACACACACACACACACACACACACACACACACCAACCACAACAACAACAAACCACACCCUAUCCUGCAACAUGUUCUGAAAGUCUUACAACAACUGCGCCUAGCACUUUGGCUCAAUAGAUAUUGUGGAAUUUCUAACCUUAGCACUAGUCACUAGUUAAUUAUAUGGAAAUAAGAAUAACACUAAAUAUACGGCACAUUUGGACUUUAAUGAAACAAAAAAGAGAGACUUUGCUGAUCUAAUUUGUUCAUCUUUCUCUUACAGUUAUAGCUACGACUGUUGCUGCAACUACAGCUUCAAGUGGACUGAAGAUUGAAUCCAGCCUGCUCCAAGCAACAUGGCUCAUUAUUAUGGCAAAAAUAUUACAGUUUUUCCUAUAGAUCUCUUAACAAUGAAUGUGAGUUGCGAGAAAUGAAAGGCAUGUGGCAGGCACACAAUUAUAUUAUCAAAUUAUAUUAUUUUUGUAUGUGUGUUUGUGUAUUGUGGUAUUAAGUAUUGUAGCACACUCUUGAAAUAUGGCAAUGGCAAAAUAAGCAUAAGCCUGAAAUUGCAUUGAUUCUAAGGAGCACAAUUUGUAAUUAGAAAAAAUAAUAUAUGUAUAUUUAUUUAUCAGCAGGUUGUAGUAAUCAAUCAAAUAAGGAAAAUUCCUAUUUCCUCAGUAUUUUAAAUGUAAUGCUUUUGUUCACUUGUCUGCAGGUUAAAGACUAUUUAUACUGUAAUUCUCUUUUGUCUAGUAUGUGCUAAUAUCGCAAGAACUUAUUUAAUCUUAUUAUAAUCAAAUAAACAUAUUUAUUAAGUUCACAUUGUCCAAAAUUGUAUGAUUGUUUGUAAUUAUUACAUUUAUUUAAAAUGUACAAGGGUCUUAUAUUAAUUGAAUUAAAUAAAGUUUUAAUGCAACAUUAACUUGCGUAAUUCUUUCAUUGCAAAUUCUUUAUAGCCUAAUUAUCAAAACUGGCAAUUUAAAAAAAUAAACAUAAAUUCAGGAUAGUAUAUAUCCAGAGUUGGUUAUGGCUAGUAAAAACAAUGAAAGUGUCUUUAAACACACACACACAAAUCUGUAAUGACCACCUAACAAGCUGCUAUGAAAAUUGGCAUUGCAGUGGUUUUCAUCUUCCACUUCAGGUAUGUAAUGCUCGCAAACAAUGCAAAGCAUUAAAAUAUUUUUAUUGUGCUAGUCACAAAACAAGUGUGUUGUACACUCACUAAUUAAAUUUA